rnacentral:rRNA from 1 species
GGGGAAUAUUGCACAAUGGGGGAAACCCUGAUGCAGCGACGCCGCGUGAGUGAAGAAGUAUUUCGGUACGUAAAGCUCUAUCAGCAGGGAAGAAAAUGACGGUACCUGACUAAGAAGCCCCGGCUAACUACGUGCCAGCAGCCGCGGUAAUACGUAGGGGGAAAGCGUUAUCCGGAUUUACUGGGUGUAAAGGGAGCGUAGGUGGCAAGUCAAGUCAGAUGUGAAAGCCCGGGGCUCAACUCCGGGAUUGCAUUUGAAACUGGUUUGCUAGAGUGCAGGAGAGGUAAGUGGAAUUCCUAGUGUAGCGGUGAAAUGCGUAGAUAUUAGGAGGAACACCAGUGGCGAAGGCGACUCUCUGGACCGUAACUGACGCUGAGGCAUGAAAGCGUGGGGAGCAAAC